GCAAGUUCAUAAGAGCAAACGGUGAAUGCCUUGGCAUCUGGAGCCGAAGAAGGACGUCGUAAUCUGCGAUAAGCCUCGGGGAGCUGAUAAACGAGCUGUGAUCCGAGGAUUUCCGAAUGGGGAAACCCCGCCAGGCCCCUUGUGGUGACCUGGUGACUCCCGCCUGAAUAUAUAGGGCGGGUAGAGGGAACGUGGGGAAGUGAAACAUCUCAGUACCCACAGGAAGAGAAAACAACAGUGAUUCCGUCAGUAGUGGCGAGCGAACGCGGAAGAGGCUAAACCGAGUCAUGUGUGAUACCCGGCAGGGGUUGCAUGGCCGGGGUUGUGGGACUUUUCGUUCCGGUCUGCCGGCCGGUGAACGUUACAGCGCAUCAUAGACGAACAGGUUUGAACGCCUGGCCAGAGCGGGUGCGAGCCCCGUAGUCGAAAUGGUGUUAUGGCGUGAAGAGUAUCCCAAGUAGCACGGGGCCCGAGAAAUCCCGUGUGAAUCUGUCAGGACCACCUGAUAAGCCUAAAUACUCCCAGAUGACCGAUAGCGGACAAGUACCGUGAGGGAAAGGUGAAAAGUACCCCGGGAGGGGAGUGAAAUAGUACCUGAAACCGUUUGCUUACAAACCGUCGGAGCCUCCUUGUAGGGGUGACGGCGUGCCUUUUGAAGAAUGAGCCUGCGAGUUAGUGCUCUGUGGCGAGGUUAACCCGUGUGGGGCAGCCGUAGCGAAAGCGAGUCCGAAUAGGGCGAUUUANNNNNNNNNNNNNNNNNNNNNNNNNNNNNNNNNNNNNNNNNNNNNNNNNNNNNNNNNNNNNNNNNNNNNNNNNNNNNNNNNNNNNNNNNNNNNNNNNNAGUCGCAGGGUCUAGACCCGAAGCGAAGUGAUCUAUCCAUGGCCAGGUUGAAGCGACGGUAAGACGUCGUGGAGGACCGAACCCACUUCAGUUGAAAAUGGAGGGGAUGAGCUGUGGAUAGGGGUGAAAGGCCAAUCAAACUUCGUGAUAGCUGGUUCUCUCCGAAAUGCAUUUAGGUGCAGCGUUGCGUGUUUCUUGCCGGAGGUAGAGCUACUGGAUGGCCGAUGGGGCCCAAAAGCUUACUGACGUCAGCCAAACUCCGAAUGCCGGUAAGUGAGAGCGCAGCAGUGAGACUGUGGGGGAUAAGCUUCAUAGUCGAGAGGGAAACAACCCAGACCACCAACUAAGGUCCCUAAGCGCGUGCUAAGUGGGAAAGGAUGUGGAGUUGCACAGACAACCAGGAGGUUGGCUUAGAAGCAGCCACCCUUGAAAGAGUGCGUAAUAGCUCACUGGUCAAGUGAUUCCGCGCCGACAAUGUAACGGGGCUCAAGCACGCCACCGAAGUUGUGGCAUUGACAUUAGUGGUAGGCCUUCGUGGUCCAGCCGUGUUGAUGGGUAGGAGAGCGUCGUGUGGCGAGUGAAGCGGCGGUGUGAACCAGCCGUGGAUGCCACACGAGUGAGAAUGCAGGCAUGAGUAGCGAAAGACGGGUGAGAAACCCGUCCUCCGGAAGACCAAGGGUUCCAGGGUCAAGCUAAUCUUCCCUGGGUAAGUCGGGACCUAAGGCGAGGCCGACAGGCGUAGUCGAUGGACAACGGGUUGAUAUUCCCGUACCGGCGAAGAACCGCCCAAGACAAUCCAGUAGUGCUAAGUAUCUGAAUCCCUUUGAUGGAUCCCUUCGGGGUGAAGCGUUGGGCCUAGCGUACGACCCCGUGCUGGUGCGUUUAGCGUAUUAACAGGUGUGACGCAGGAAGGUAGCCGAGCCGGGCGAUGGUUGUCCCGGUCUAAGGAUGUAGGGCGAACGAUAGGCAAAUCCGUCGUUCAUAUAGCCUGAGAUCUGAUGGGUAGACGCAAGUCGAAAUCGGUGAUCCUAUGCUGCCAAGAAAAGCAUCGACGCGAGGUUCUAGCUGCCCGUACCCCAAACCGACUCAGGUGGUCAGGUAGAGAAUACUAAGGAGAUCGAGAGAAUCGUGGUUAAGGAACUCGGCAAAAUGCCCCCGUAACUUCGGGAGAAGGGGGGCCUGAGGCGUGAACGGACUUGCUCCGGGAGCGUUCGAUGGCCGCAGAGACCAGUGGGAAGCGACUGUUUACUAAAAACACAGGUCCGUGCUAAGUCGCAAGACGAUGUAUACGGACUGACGCCUGCCCGGUGCUGGAAGGUUAAGAGGAACGGUUAGCCGCAAGGCGAAGCUGAGAAUUUAAGCCCCAGUAAACGGCGGUGGUAACUAUAACCAUCCUAAGGUAGCGAAAUUCCUUGUCGGGUAAGUUCCGACCUGCACGAAUGGCGUAACGACUUCCCAGCUGUCUCAACCGCGAACUCGGCGAAAUUGCAUUACGAGUAAAGAUGCUCGUUACGCGCAGCAGGACGGAAAGACCCCGUGACCUUUACUAUAGUUUGGUAUUGGUGUUCGGUGUGGCUUGUGUAGGAUAGGUGGGAGACGUUGAAGCGGGCACGCUAGUGUUCGUGGAGUCAUUGUUGAAAUACCACUCUGGUCACUCUGGAUAUCUAACUUCGGACCCUAAUCGGGUUCAGGGACAGUGCCUGAUGGGUAGUUUAACUGGGGCGGUUGCCUCCCAAAGAGUAACGGAGGCGCCCAAAGGUUCCCUCAACCUGGUUGGCAAUCAGGUGGCGAGUGUAAGUGCACAAGGGAGCUUGACUGUGAGACUGACAAGUCGAGCAGGGACGAAAGUCGGGACUAGUGAUCCGGCAGUGGCUUGUGGAAGCGCUGUCGCUCAACGGAUAAAAGGUACCUCGGGGAUAACAGGCUGAUCUUGCCCAAGAGUCCAUAUCGACGGCAUGGUUUGGCACCUCGAUGUCGGCUCGUCGCAUCCUGGGGCUGGAGUAGGUCCCAAGGGUUGGGCUGUUCGCCCAUUAAAGCGGUACGCGAGCUGGGUUUAGAACGUCGUGAGACAGUUCGGUCCCUAUCCGCUGCGCGCGCAGGAAAUUUGAGAAGAUCUAUCCCUAGUACGAGAGGACCGGGAUGGACGAACCUCUGGUGUGUCAGUUGUUCCGCCAGGAGCACCGCUGAUUAGCUACGUUCGGAACGGAUAACCGCUGAAAGCAUCUAAGCGGGAAGCCGGCUUCGAGAUGAGAUUUCCAUCCCUUCGGGGGAGAGGCUCCCAGCCAGACGACUGGGUUGAUAGGCCGGAUGUGGAAGACAGGACUAAAGACUGUCGGAGCUGACCGGUACUAAUAAGCCGAUAACUUGAUAA
rnacentral:rRNA from 1 species